GAUGAACGCUGGCGGCGUGCCUAAUACAUGCAAGUCGAACGAGAAAGAGGAAGUCUUCGGACGGACUCUGGAGAGUGGCGCACGGGUGAGUAACACGUAGAUGACCUGCCCCGGAGAGGGGGAUAACUGUUGGAAACGACAGCUAAUACCCCAUAAGCUCACGGUUUUUAGAAAGCUGUGAGAAAAGGUUCCGGCGCUCCGGGAGGGGUCUGCGGCCCAUCAGCUGGUUGGUAGGGUAACGGCCUACCAAGGCGAAGACGGGUAGGGGGCCUGAGAGGGUGGUCCUCCACACGGGAACUGAGACACGGUCCCGACUCCUACGGGAGGCAG
rnacentral:rRNA from 1 species